rnacentral:rRNA from 1 species
AGUGAACGCUGGCGGUAGGCCUAACACAUGCAAGUCGAACGGCAGCACAGUAAGAGCUUGCUCUUACGGGUGGCGAGUGGCGGACGGGUGAGGAAUACAUCGGAAUCUACUUUUUCGUGGGGGAUAACGUAGGGAAACUUACGCUAAUACCGCAUACGACCUACGGGUGAAAGCAGGGGAUCUUCGGACCUUGCGCGAGUGAAUGAGCCGAUGUCGGAUUAGCUAGUUGGCGGGGUAAAGGCCCACCAAGGCGACGAUCCGUAGCUGGUCUGAGAGGAUGAUCAGCCACACUGGAACUGAGACACGGUCCAGACUCCUACGGGAGGCAGCAGUGGGGAAUAUUGGACAAAGGGCGCAAGCCUGAUCCAGCCAUACCGCGUGAGUGAAGAAGGCCUUCGGGUUGUAAAGCCCUUUUGUUGGGAAAGAAAAGCAGCAGGUUAAUACCCCGCUGUUCUGACGGUACCCAAAGAAUAAGCACCGGCUAACUUCGUG